rnacentral:rRNA from 1 species
CUCGUAGGUGGCCAACUAAGUCGGACGUGAAAUCCCUCGGCUUAACCGGGGAACUGCGUCCGAUACUGGUUGGCUUGAGUUUGGGAGAGGGAUGCGGAAUUCCAGGUGUAGCGGUGAAAUGCGUAGAUAUCUGGAGGAACACCGGUGGCGAAGGCGGCAUCCUGGACCAAUACUGACGCUGAGGAGCGAAAGCCAGGGGAGCAAACA